GGUGAGAUGGCCGAGCGGUCUAAGGCGCCAGACUAAGGAGACCAGGACAGUUCCUGUCCCAAUUAUCUGGUCACAUUGUGGCGGGGGUUCGAAUCCCCCUCUCAUCA